UGAAUUUCUACUAGUGAUUCCUACUCGACUUAAGCAAGUACCUAAGGACACCCUAAAACGUUGACAUGGUUGAGUGGACAGAUGCUGAGCGAAGUGCCAUCAUUGGCCUGUGGGGAAAGCUCCAUCCCGAUGAAAGCGGACCUCAGGCCCUAGCCAGGUAGUUCUCUCUCUGAUGGACCAGGCAAUUAACCAAACUCAGAAGAACAAGGCACGUGAUGGGAGGCGGCGGUGGUGCUGAGUAAAUAUCAGAGGCAAUCGGUCCGUGAUCCUUUCAGUCAAGGUGGGAGGCUCGCCAUCAAUUAUGGAAAUCCACAUGAAAGUUCAUCCUCACAAGGG